rnacentral:lncRNA from 1 species
GGUGAGAGAGUUGAUGGAGUAAGGAGGAGCAAAACCCUAUUUAUAUAAGCAACCGAGGGGAAAUUUCUAAAAAAAAUUAUGCGAGAGCCUACGACCAUCCGAGAUUUCAGGGAUAGGAUGUGCAAAAAUUAUCUCGGGAUUCUCGGGUUCUGAAAUUUUUUCACGGGUUAGGAUUAGGGUUGAAAAUGUGAAGGAAGAAAACA